GCGCCACUAGCUCAGCUGGUAGAGCAUCCGACUCUUAAUCGGCAGGUCCGCGGUUCGAUCCCGCGGUGGCGCA
rnacentral:tRNA from 1 species